rnacentral:rRNA from 1 species
AGGGCCGGGCAAGACCGGUGCCAGCCGCCGCGGUAAUACCGGCGGCUCGAGUGGUGGCCACUAUUACUGGGCUUAAAGCGUUCGUAGCUGGUCUGUUAAGUCUCUGGGGAAAUCUACUGGCUUAACCAAUAGGCGUCUCAGGGAUACUGGCAGACUAGGGACCGGGAGAGGUGAGAGGUACUCCAGGGGUAGGAGUGAAAUCCUGUAAUCCUUGGGGGACCACCUGUGGCGAAGGCGUCUCACCAGAACGGCUCCGACAGUGAGGGACGAAAGCUGGGGGAGCAAACCGGAUUAGAUACCCGGGUAGUCCCAGCCGUAAACGAUGCGCGUUAGGUGUAUCGGUGACCACGAGUCACCGAGGUGCCGAAGAGAAAUCGUGAAACGUGCCGCCUGGGAAGUACGGUCGCAAGGCUGAAACUUAAAGGAAUUGGCGGGGGAGCACCACAACAGGUGGAGCCUGCGGUUUAAUCGGACUCAACGCCGGAAAUCUCACCGGAUAAGACAGCUGGAUGAUAGUCGGGCUGAAGACUCUACUUGACUAGCUGAGAGGAGGUGCAUGGCCGUCGUCAGUUC